rnacentral:snoRNA from 13 species
CCAACAGGGACACCCGGGGAGGGUCGUUGCCCUCCCCGGCUCUGUCCAAGCGGCGUAUGGGAGCGUAGGGGUCACCCCGUGACGUACAGUCCCGUUCCGUGCUGUUGGAGAUCAAGCCGGGCUUCGUGUCUGCGCCUGCAUAUUCCUACUGCUUCUCUGAGCCCCCGGGCCGUGACAGAGGAGAGAAACCAUGCAGGAUACAAGC